rnacentral:rRNA from 1 species
GACGAACGCUGGCGGCGUGCUUAACACAUGCAAGUCGAACGGAAAGGCCUCUUUCGGGGGGUACUCGAGUGGCGAACGGGUGAGUAACACGUGUGUAACCCCCCCUUUACUCUGGGAUAAAUUCACGAAACUGGGGCUAAUAUCGGAUAGGAGCUCCUCCUCCAUGGUGGGGGUUGGAAAGUUUCUGCGGUUUGGGUUGGAAUCGCGGCUUUUAAGCUUGUUGGUGGGGUAGUUGCUUACCAAGGCUUUUUCGGGUAGCCUGGCUGGGAGGGUGACCGGGCACAGUGGGGCUGAGAUAAGGGCCAAGAUCCUACGGGAGGCAGCAGGGGGGAAUAUUGCAAAAUGGGUGGAAGGCUGAAGGAAGAACGCCGUCGGCGGGACGGCGGGCUUCGGGUUGAAAACCGGUUUCGCUCAUGAAGGAGCUUUGUGUGACGGUAAUGGGUAAAGAAGCACCGGCUAACUACGUG